CAAACGGUCCUUUUCAAGACCACCGAAAAUAUUUCCUCAAGAGUUGU
rfam:Aedes albopictus isolate Foshan contig173271, whole genome shotgun sequence.